rnacentral:lncRNA from 12 species
UCCCAAACCCCCGAGGGGGGUGGGGCCUCACCCGGCCGCUGCCUCCGGCUCCGUUUGGGGCAUUUUCCUCAAAUUCCUCAAUUUUCCCAGCUCCGGGACCCAAAUCGGGAUUUUUCUUCCUUUUUCUCCCUUUAUCCUUCUUUUUUCCAUUAUUUUUCGCUUCUAUUUUCUCCUCUAAAUCCUCUUUGAUUUUCUCCCUUUUUUUCACUCUUCUAUUCUCUUCUAUUUUUUCUAUUAUUUUUCUAUAUUCUUCUAUUUUCUAUUUGUCCUAUUUUCAUUUUUUUCUAAUUUCUUCUAUUUUCUCCAAUUUUGUAUUUUUACUCUAGUUUCUUCUAUUUUCCAAUUUUCUUCUUUUUUUUUUCUAUUUUUCUUUUUUCCAUUUUUUCUACGCUUUUUCAAUUUUCUUUUUUCCAAUUUCUAUUUUUCAAUUUUUUUUCUCUAUUUUCUUUUUUCUAUUUUUUUUUCUGAUUUUCUUCUAUUUUCUCUUUGUUCUAUUUUCUGCCUUUUUUUCCUGGUUUUUUUUCUCUCUUCUCUCUGCUCCUUCCCUGCCCAACUGCCGCCAUUUUACCAAAAAGUCCUUUAUCCCCCCAGAUGGGGUCACUGCGAAGAAAAACUUUCCUCUCCCUGCCGACUCCAUCUUCACUCUUCAUUUUUCCUGCUCUUGCCUCAAAAUUGGCUCCUCUCAAUCCAUCCUGAGCCUGAAAAUGCCGCAUUUCACCCCAAACCGGCCGCCCCAUCUGCGCUGCCCGGCCCGGCCCCACUUGGGGACAAAACGACAUUUUUUAAGCUUUAGGAGCUUUUUAAAAAUUAAAUUUAAGAGCUUUUUUUUAGCAGAAAACAGCGUAUCAAGCGCGUUUUCUUUCUUUCUUUCAAUUAAAGCAGCUUAAAAAGCUCUUUUUAAAUUCAAACCGCCCCAGCUCGCUCCGGCUUUUAUAUCAAAUUAUGAUAUUUUUUAAGAAUUAAAGAGCUGCGAGAGCUGCGAUUUCUCCCAGAAAUCGGCUUUGAAAGCAGCGAUUUCUUAAAAACCAGCAUCAAAUGCUUUGGUUUAAAUAAAACCCAGCUUUAAGAGCUUUUUUUAAGGGUUUUGAUUGGUUUUUUUCAAUUAAAAAUGCCCCGGCUCGCCCCGGCUUUUCCCGUUAGUGGAAUCGCCGCAAUUUAAGGAUUUUUAUUGAAAUCAAGCAGCUUUAAGAGCUCAGUUUUCCUUAAAGGAAACACCUUUUGUCUUUAUUUUUAAAUAAAGACUUAGGAGCCGCUUUUACGAAAUAAAGCAGCCUUAGGAGCUCUUGCUAUAAAAUAUCGCAGCUUUAAGAGCUUUCCGUAGGCAGUAAAGCCAUUAUUGGAGCUCUGGAUAGAAAAUAAAGCCAUUUUAGGAGCUUUUUUGGAUAAAAUCGAGCAGCUUUAGGAGCUUUGUGCUCAGGAUCGAGCGGUUUUGGGCCAAAUUCGGGCGGGAUCGGGGCUGGCUCUCGGCCGGGCGCUGCGGCCGCGGGGCCCUGCCUUAUAAAGGGCCCGGCGCCGCCCCCGCGGGGGCGACAAAAUAGUCCCCAAAAUCGCCAAAAAAGGGCAGAACCCCCCCAAAAAUCCACCGCCCCUAGUGUGAAAAACCCUCUUGUCUCAUUAUUUCCCCUUUUUUACCUUUUU